GAGUGCCGCUGGAGCGCCGCCUUUGGCGGCCCCGUGAAAGUCGGCCCCCCGGCUUAA
rnacentral:snoRNA from 19 species